GAGAAACUGGGCAAGAGGAGAAAAAGAAAGGUGUGGAGGAGGAGACAGCAGAUGAUUCAGUGAGCUGAUAAACCAGUUAUAACAGCAUUCGCUCGGGGCGGGGGGCGGGGGGCUUGGGGCGGUGGGGUGGGGAAAAUAACGGCGUUUAAAAUGGGCUCAGUCUUCGAAACCUAAAGGAUGUGAUGUUUUCCUGUCUUAUGUUGUUUUAAGAAAAAGGAACUGAGUUCCUAGUAUAGCUCCCGAGGGGAGUGGAAUCCUCUGUCGCUCAGUGCAAGCCUUUCACAUCACGUGAGGAUCAAGGGCUCAAUUGGUUGUCGUGAGAACAAAAAUGGUGACAAGCGUAUCAAGAAAAUACUGAUCUGGUCUUUAAAAAAAAAAAAGCUGAAAGUCUCUCCCCUCCCCCUGCACACACUCCCCCAACCUCCUCCCCCCGCCCCCCCGCAGUGGGCGAAGCUACAAGUUAUGAAUGUGAAACAUUUCUCGGAGAUCUAGGAUCUCCGAAGUUCGGAAGGAGCGAAAUGUAAUGAGCACAAGAGCAAAGCAGAUGUUUUAAAGAAACACUUUAUAAACCUUUCCUCAACUUAUCUCCAAUUUGUCGGCUUUCCCAAGGGGCCAGGGACGGGGACGCCUGGGGGAGGGAGAAGGGUAUCUCCGAGCUACUUGGAUUUUAGGGACCCCCACUUCAUGUAUUAAACAAAGAAAAACCUUUUGCUUGCUCCCCAG
rnacentral:lncRNA from 10 species